AAACACUCAGCCUCGUCUCAGAUAACCCUGAUUAUCCCGUCUCAACUUUCGGGCACAUGCAUCAGGAGGCUGAUUUCCAGGGAAACGUGAUGGGUUGAACAUGAGACAUUGAUACUGUGCAAGUCUUCUUGGAAAGUUUCCCCACACCACAGAUCGCCUGGAGAGUGGAAGUAACUAAGUAAGAUUUUUAUGUAGCACCUUUUCAAACAAAGUUACAAAGUGCUUCACCGGAUACAAAUUCAGAAAAAU